GACGAACGCUGGCGGCGUGCUUAACACAUGCAAGUCGAGCGGUAAGGCCCUUUCGGGGGUACACGAGCGGCGAACGGGUGAGUAACACGUGGGUGACCUGCCCUCAGCUCUGGGAUAAGCCUGGGAAACUGGGUCUAAUACCGGAUAUGACUCCAUGACGCAUGUUGUGGGGUGGAAAGCCUUGUGCGGCUGAGGAUGGGCCCGCGGCCUAUCAGCUUGUUGGUGGGGUGAUGGCCUACCAAGGCGACGACGGUAGCCGGCCUGAGAGGGCGACCGGCCACACUGGGACUGAGACACGGCCCAGACUCCUACGGGAGGCAGCAGUGGGGAAUCUUGCGCAAUGGGCGAAAGCCUGACGCAGCGACGCCGCGUGAGGGAUGACGGCCUGG
rnacentral:rRNA from 1 species